UAGAAUUAGGAGCUGGUAUCAGGCACAGAUUUUAGCCCAUAACACCUAGUUUCACCACACCCCCAAGGGUACUCAGCAGUGAUAAAGAUUGAUUAUAAGCGUAAGCUUGAAUCAGUUAAAGAAAAUUAGAGCCGGCCAAUCUGGUGCCAGCCGCCGCGGCUACACCAKAAGGCUCAAGUUGAUAAUCACCGGCGUUAAUCGUGAUUAAAGGAAAGACUUAAUUAGAGAUGAAUUUAGAUCCAUAGUAGUAA
rnacentral:rRNA from 1 species